CAACAGCGUUCCCGAAAGCUGAGGAACCAUCCUGAGGAACACCUAUUGAAACAGAGUCAUGCAGUUACCUUAAUGUGCUGCCUUUGAAUCAAAGGGCACUUUGGAAGAGGGGAAUGCUCUUUGAGUUGGGAUUGACUGACAUCAGAGCUGCAGUGGGAUACACGACAUGUCACGUAGGUUUGGAGGCUUUGGAGGAACUGUGUGAAUGCCAUGAGUUUCCAGAGAGGGGAAACCAUUGUCCCUGCUCCUCUUGGGCCAUGCACAGGUCAGGGUCAGGGAAAUCCUGCCCAGGGAGCCACUUCUUUCCCUCUUUAUUUUAAAACCUUGGCCCCACUUGUAGAACUCCAUUUUGCUAAGAGAAGAUGCAUUUCAGAAAUAGCUUGAGAAUCUAUGUUGGUCUUUUUGUUGUUUUUCUCUUUUUCUGAUUAUAAAAGAGAAAUGUUUCUUUCGACACAGAGACUUGCAAUGAAUGUUCAUAGUAGCAUUAUUCCUAACAGCACAAACCCGUAAACAACCCACUUGUCCAUUGACAAGCAAAAUGUGGUGUGUCCACACCAUCUAACAAUGCAGAGUACAGAAGGCGGAUAUACAUUACCACAUGAGUGAACCUCAAAAACAUUAUCAAGCGAAGAAGCCAGUACAAAAGACCACAUGCUGCUUAAUUCCAUUUAUGUAAAAUUUCAGGAAAUCUACUCAGAAAGAAGAUCCAUGGUGGCUGGAGAUGGAGAUGGGAAUGAAGGGCGCCUGCAAAGGACCACAGGGGUGAUUUUGGAGGUUAUGGAAAUUGCUUUAAAAUUGGAAAUUGUUCUAAAAACUGUGGUGAUGGCUGCACAACUCUAUAAAAGUCCUAAGGCGUAUUGUACAUCUUACAUAGGAUGUGUUAUCUCCAUAAAGAUAAAGAAAUAUCGAACAACCACUGAACAAGGAACCCCUAUACCUCGGUGGAAGCAAAGAAAAAGAAAAUGGGACAGGAAUGACAGACAACCUAACUGGUAUUUUUUUGAUUAGUGGUUUCUCCAUAUUUAAAAAGAAAAAAAAAAAAA